rnacentral:rRNA from 1 species
GACCAGACUCCUACGGGAGGCAGCAGUGGGGAAUAUUGCACAAUGGGGGAAACCCUGAUGCAGCGACGCCGCGUGGGUGAAGGAGCGUUUCGGCGCGUAAAGCCCUAUCGGCAGGGAAGAAGGAGGACGGUACCUGACUAAGAAGCCCCGGCUAACUACGUGCCAGCAGCCGCGGUAAUACGUAGGGGGCAAGCGUUAUCCGGAUUUACUGGGUGUAAAGGGAGCGUAGACGGCAAUGCAAGCCAGGAGUGAAAGCCCGGGGCCCAACCCCGGGACUGCUCUUGGAACUGCAUGGCUGGAGUACAGGAGGGGCAGGCGGAAUUCCUAGUGUAGCGGUGAAAUGCGUAGAUAUUAGGAGGAACACCGGUGGCGAAGGCGGCCUGCUGGACUGUGACUGACGUUGAGGCCCGAAGGCGUGGGGAGCAAACAGGAUUAGAUACCCCCGUA